CCACUCUGCAGAUCCUAACUUUGGCUAUUGUUUUUUCUGCCCUCUGGUCUUGAGGAAUUCUGCAUAACUCAGACAAGGAAAAACAGACGAACUUGAGAACGAAUUUGUUUUGCUAAAAAUUGAUGCACGCACCCCCACCAAAGGUGUUACUUAGAAGAGCCUUAACUUUCCCAAUGGGAUGAAAUUUUGUUACCGUUUUAUUUAUUAGUGUUUCACUUUGCUUCACUGAACAUGAGAGAAUAGAGCUAUAAAAGUUCGCCGAGAGCAUUUUCAUAGUGGGCCUCUCCUCUUUGAAAAAAUAAUUCUUGCCUUAAACUUCACAACUGCCUUAUGAAAACUCUUCAGGCUUAACUCUAAAGUCUGUGCAGGCAGAAUGGAGAUCAUGUUUUUAAAAACAUUCGCAGGCUUUCUCUUUUUUUGCCUUUUCCCACACGCACGUGAGCCCAAGGUGUCCGUCUGCCACCAAGAGAUGUCGGAGAGUGAGACUUAGGAAGAUUCACUUGUUAGAGAAGAAAUGCAACCGCGAACAAAGACUUUUCAGUUGCUGACAUUUAAAUGGCAUUUCGCAAGAAGACAAUAGGCAAAAAUGCUUGAAAGUCUGUCAAAAACAAAGGCCCGUCUAAACUC